rnacentral:rRNA from 1 species
GACGAACGCUGGCGGCGUGCUUAACACAUGCAAGUCGAGCGGAGCGGCGAACGGGUGAGUAACGCGUGAGUAACUGCCCCCCUCUCCGGGAUAACAGUUGGAAACGGCUGCUAAUACCGGAUAGUGGGGGAUGACUCGCGGCCUAUCAGCUUGUUGGUGGAGUAGUGGCCUACCAAGGCGACGACGGGUAGCCGGCCUGGGAGGGGGUCCGGCCACAUUGGGCUGAGGUACGGCCCAGACUGCGACGGGGGGCAGCGGUGGAGAAUAUUGCACAAUGAGGGAGACCCUGAUGCAGCGACGCCGCGGGCGGGAUGACGGGCUGCGGGUUGUAAACCGCUUUCAGCCAUGACGCGGUAGUGGCAGAAGAAGCACCGGCUAACUACGUGCCAGCAGCCGCGGUAAUUC